AAACUCACCUGGCAAGGCAGUGAUACCAGGAGCACAAAAGUGGUUUUCCCUCGGCGAGGUCCAUCCACUCAGCUCCAGAUAGCUGAUCCCUGCUAUCUGUUUUUUCAAACACAAAAAUGCAACUGCAUGACCUGUGUGGCGGGGCUGUGCUUGCACGAUACCCUA
rnacentral:snRNA from 1 species